UGUCAUAGAAGAACCACAUAUGGUGUCC
rnacentral:sRNA from 1 species